UACGAAGGUGGCAAGCGUUACUCGGAAUUACUAGGCGUAAAGGGCAGGUAGGUGGUUUGGUAAGUCUAUUGUGAAAGCUCCCGGCUUAACUGGGAGAGGCCAAUGGAUACUACCAAGCUUGAGUAUAGGAGAGGUUACUGGAAUUCCCGGUGUAGCGGUGAAAUGCGCAGAGAUCGGGAGGAACACCAAUGGCGAAAGCAGGUAACUGGACUAUUACUGACACUCAGCUGCGAAAGCUAGGGGAGCAAACAGG
rnacentral:rRNA from 1 species